rnacentral:tRNA from 1 species
UGGGGGAUCGUUCAGCGGCAGGACGACGGGUUCUGGCCCCGUUAACCCAGGUUCGAAUCCUGGUCCCCCAGCCA